rnacentral:rRNA from 1 species
GAUGAACGCUAGCGGCAGGCUUAAUACAUGCAAGUCGAGGGGCAGCAUGAUUGUAGCAAUACAAUUGAUGGCGAACGGCAAACGGGUGCGGAACACGUACACAACCUUCCAACAAGUGGGGGAUAGCCCAGAGAAAUUUGGAUUAAUACCCCGUAACAUAGCGAUGUGGCAUCACAUUGCUAUUAUAGAUUUUUCGCUUGUUGAUGGGUGUGCGGCUGAUUAGAUAGUUGGCGGGGUAAGGGCCCACCAAGUCUACGAUCAGUAGCUGAUGUGAGAGCAUGAUCAGCCACACGGGCACUGAGACACGGGCCCGACUCCUACGGGAGGCAGCAGUAAGGAAUAUUGGACAAUGGACGCAAGUCUGAUCCAGCCAUGCCGCGUGAAGGAUUAAGGUCCUCUGGAUUGUAAACUUCUUUUAUAAGGGACGAAAAAAGGCUUUUCUAAGUCGUCUGACGGUACCUUAUGAAUAAGCACCGGCUAACUCCGUGCCAGCAGCCGCCGUAACAC